rnacentral:tRNA from 1 species
GCCCGCCUAGCUCAAUUGGUCAGAGCGUCAGACUUUUACGGCGGGGGUGAUUCCCUUCGGAAUCUGAAGGCUGCGAGUUCGACCCUCGCGGUGGGCU